GAGGAUGUGGCUCAGGGGUAGAGCAUAUGCUUUGCAGGCACAAGGCCCUGGGUUCAAUCCCUAGUACUUG
rnacentral:tRNA from 1 species